AUGGCGUUAGUGCGGGAGCCGAUGGUGACGUACGACGGCGGGUUCGACGCGCUCGUCUACGGUGGCCACGACGCGCUGCUCGGAGGCGUGGACACGACGGUGCUCUUCGGGGGCUACAACUACGCCCACGACGAGCCAGCCGGCGCCGCCGGCGCCUACGUGCCGGAGAGCGCGAGCUGGGCGGGCGCGGGGAUGUCCGUGCUCGCAUUCGACCGUGCCGCGCCCGCGCGAGGCCCCGGCGCCCAGGUAGUCGCGCAGGAGGAGGCGGACUGCGACGCGUGGAUGGACGCCAUGGACGAGGACCAGCACGCAGGGCCGGCGUCGACCAUAGGGUUCGAUCCAGCCACGGGCUGCUUCAGCCUGAUGCAGAGCUCCGGCGGCGCGGGGCGGCCGUUCGGGCUCCUGUUCCCGAGCACGUCCAACGGCUCGCCCGACGCCCCGGCGCCGGCGCGCGGUUCCUCGAAGCGAUCGUACGCGGCGCGCGUGCAGGAUGCGGAGCCGCGGGCCUCCAAGAAGCCGUGCGGCGCGCGCAGGAAGACGAGUAAGGCGAAGCCGGCGGCGCGCACCACCACCUCGCCCAAGGGGGACCCGCAAAGCCUCGCCGCAAAGAACCGACGGGAGAAGAUCAGCGAGCGGCUGCGGACACUGCAGGAGCUGGUUCCCAACGGCACCAAGGUCGACAUGGUCACCAUGCUCGAGAAGGCCGUCAGCUACGUCAAGUUCCUGCAGCUGCAAGUCAAGGUGCUGGCGACGGACGAGUUCUGGCCGGCGCAAGGGGGAACAGCGCCGGAAAUCUCCCAGGUGAAGGAGGCGCUGGACGCCAUCUUGUCGUCGCAGAGGGGGCAACUGGACUGA
rnacentral:rRNA from 1 species